rnacentral:rRNA from 1 species
CGGCCUUGGACGAGCGGCGGACGGGUGAGUAAUGCAUAGGAAACUGCCCAGUAGUGGGGGAUAGCCCGGGGAAACCCGGAUUAAUACCGCGUACGCCCUUCGGGGGAAAGCAGGGGAUCUUCGGACCUUGCGCUAUUGGAUGUGCCUAUGUCGGAUUAGCUAGUUGGUGGGGUAAAGGCCUACCAAGGCGACGAUCCGUAGCUGGUCUGAGAGGAUGAUCAGCCACAUCGGGACUGAGACACGGCCCGAACUCCUACGGGAGGCAGCAGUGGGGAAUAUUGGACAAUGGGGGCAACCCUGAUCCAGCCAUGCCGCGUGUGUGAAGAAGGCUUUCGGGUUGUAAAGCACUUUCAGUGAGGAGGAAAACUCUGCGACUAAUACUCGUAGGGCUUGACGUUACUCACAGAAGAAGCACCGGCUAACUCCGUGCCAGCAGCCGCGGUAAUACGGAGGGUGCAAGCGUUAAUCGGAAUUACUGGGCGUAAAGCGCGCGUAGGUGGUUUGAUAAGCGAGAUGUGAAAGCCCCGGGCUUAACCUGGGAACGGCAUUUCGAACUGUCAGGCUAGAGUAUGGUAGAGGAGUGUGGAAUUUCCUGUGUAGCGGUGAAA